UACGUAGGGUGCGAGCGUUGUCCGGAAUUAUUGGGCGUAAAGAGCUCGUAGGCGGUGUGUCGCGUCGGCCGUGAAAACCUGCAGCUUAACUGUGGGCUUGCGGUCGAUACGGGCAUCACUGGAGUUCGGCAGGGGAGACUGGAAUUCCUGGUGUAGCGGUGAAAUGCGCAGAUAUCAGGAGGAACACCGGUGGCGAAGGCGGGUCUCUGGGCCGAUACUGACGCUGAGGAGCGAAAGCGUGGGGGAGCGAACAGG
rnacentral:rRNA from 1 species